UACGUAGGGUGCAAGCGUUAUCCGGAAUUAUUGGGCGUAAAGAGCUCGUAGGCGGUUUGUCGCGUCGACUGUGAAAACUGGGGGCUUAACUCUCAGCUUGCAGUUGAUACGGGCAGACUUGAGUUCGGUAGGGGAGACUGGAAUUCCUGGUGUAGCGGUGAAAUGCGCAGAUAUCAGGAGGAACACCGGUGGCGAAGGCGGGUCUCUGGGCCGAUAUUGACGCUGAGGAGCGAAAGCGUGGGGAGCAAACAGG
rnacentral:rRNA from 1 species